rnacentral:rRNA from 1 species
UACGUAGGGCGCGAGCGUUGUCCGGAAUUAUUGGGCGUAAAGAGCUCGUAGGCGGUCUGUCGCGUCGGAUGUGAAAGCCCGGGACUUAACCCCGGGUCUGCAUUCGAUACGGGCAGACUAGAGUGUGGUAGGGGAGAUCGGAAUUCCUGGUGUAGCGGUGAAAUGCGCAGAUAUCAGGAGGAACACCGGUGGCGAAGGCGGAUCUCUGGGCCAUUACUGACGCUGAGGAGCGAAAGCGUGGGGAGCGAACAGG